rnacentral:rRNA from 1 species
ACGCUGGCGGCGUGCCUAAUACAUGCAAGUAGAACGCUGAAGGAGGAGCUUGCUUCUCUGGAUGAGUUGCGAACGGGUGAGUAACGCGUAGGUAACCUGCCUGGUAGCGGGGGAUAACUAUUGGAAACGAUAGCUAAUACCGCAUAACAGUAGAUGUUGCAUGACAUUUGCUUAAAAGGUGCAAUUGCAUCACUACCAGAUGGACCUGCGUUGUAUUAGCUAGUUGGUGGGGUAACGGCUCACCAAGGCGACGAUACAUAGCCGACCUGAGAGGGUGAUCGGCCACACUGGGACUGAGACACGGCCCAGACUCCUACGGGAGGCAGCAGUAGGGAAUCUUCGGCAAUGGACGGAAGUCUGACCGAGCAACGCCGCGUGAGUGAAGAAGGUUUUCGGAUCGUAAAGCUCUGUUGUAAGAGAAGAACAGGUGUGAAAGUGGAAAGUUCACACUGUGACGGUAUCUUACCAGAAAGGGACGGCUAACUACGUGCCAGCAGCCGCGGUAAUACGUAGGUCCCGAGCGUUGUCCGGAUUUAUUGGGCGUAAAGCGAGCGCAGGCGGUUAGAUAAGUCUGAAGUUAAAGGCUGUGGCUUAACCUUAGUACGCUUUGGAAACUGUUUAACUUGAGUGCAAGAGGGGAGAGUGGAAUUCCAUGUGUAGCGGUGAAAUGCGUAGAUAUAUGGAGGAACACCGGUGGCGAAAGCGGCUCUCUGGCUUGUAACUGACGCUGAGGCUCGAAAGCGUGGGGAGCAAACAGGAUUAGAUACCCCUGGUAGUCCACGCCGUAAACGAUGAGUGCUAGGUGUUAGACCCUUUCCGGGGUUUAGUGCCGCAGCUAACGCAUUAAGCACUCCGCCUGGGGAGUACGACCGCAAGGUUGAAACUCAAAGGAAUUGACG